AUAUGAAUUGUUUGAAAUCCAUCUCAGUUUGUUUAUAGAUCCUUUCUAUAAAGUUAGAUUAAAUCAAUGAUAAUAAUCUCUAAUCAUAAGUCCUGAAUCUCCGAUGGUCAUGACCAUCAUAUUUGGUUAGCUCUGGUUGUUUGCACCUUAAAAAACGUAAAAUCUUCAAUUUUAUCAUAUAAAAACAAACAAAGAGGCAAAUAUUUUUCGAGUUAGGAUCGCAUAGAAACUCAAAAUUUCAGAAUAGAUAGCAUCGUCAUCGCAGCAUCUAUAAGACAGCCACCAUCGAUUUUUUUCUACUUUUAUGAUUCCACACAUACCCAUCUAACUAGCUUUCCCUCUGUUUUCUGUCCUUUUUGAAUUGAAAUGGACGUUUAGCAUGCUCCGUUCUUCCACAUCCCAUCAUCCUCUCCGUCACCUUUUCUUGUAAUAAAUUCUCCCCAUUUCUUCUCACUUUAUUUUCUUUUCCUCGUUUUCGUCGCUUUUGCGCCUAUAUAACCAGAAUGGCCAGUGCUGUGUUUCACCCGGCAAUAGGGACUCUUCUAUCCCAUCAUCUUCACAAUUCUGAAUUUCACCGAGAGUUUGGAAAUGUGUCGGUGAAAUCGAUUUCAAAAGGUUUAAAGUUUGAUGUCGGAUUGUCAACGUCGAGAAUGGAAGGUUACAGCUCUAAUAAGAGGAAUUUUAGUGCUGUUCAAGCCUCAGCGUCUCAAACUUCAUUGGUUGAUCCAGUUUCAACCCCCUCAAAUGACAGCACCAAUGAAUUUCAAAAGAAAUCAAGCGAGGCAGCUCUGAUACUCGUUAGGCAUGGUGAGUCAUUAUGGAAUGAAAAGAACCUGUUCACAGGUUGUGUUGAUGUGCCAUUGACAAAAAAGGGUGUGGAAGAGGCAAUUGAAGCUGGUAAGAGAAUCAGCAAUAUACCUGUCGACAUGAUAUUUACAUCAUCCUUGAUCCGUGCACAGAUGACUGCUAUGCUUGCCAUGACUCAACACCGUCGUAGAAAGGUGCCAAUCAUCAUGCACAAUGAGAGUGAACAGGCAAGGGCAUGGAGUCAAAUUUUUAGUGAAGACACAAUGAGGCAAUCCAUUCCAGUUAUAACGGCUUGGCAAUUAAAUGAAAGAAUGUAUGGGGAAUUACAAGGUCUGAAUAAGCAGGAAACAGCAGAUAGAUUUGGCAAGGAAAAAGUUCAUGAAUGGCGGAGAAGUUAUGACAUACCUCCACCAAAUGGAGAGAGUUUGGAGAUGUGUGCUAAAAGAGCUGUUGCUUAUUUCAAAGAUCAGAUUGAACCCCAGCUUUGUUCUGGGAAGCAUGUAAUGAUUGCUGCCCAUGGAAAUUCGUUGAGGUCCAUAAUUAUGUAUCUUGACAAAUUAACUUCUCAGGAGGUUAUAAGUUUAGAACUCUCAACCGGAAUACCUAUGCUUUACAUAUUCAAAGAGGGGAGGUUCACUAGAAGGGGAAGUCCUGCAGGACCAACUGAGGCUGGGGUCUAUGCAUAUACUAGGUUCUAAGCCAACUGUUCAAUGCCCUGGAGAAGUCCCUGAGCAGCAUGCAGCAACCUGCUUUCACUGCAGGAGCAGCUAAAACAGCGUUUACAGCCAAUGGAUUUGGGAUUGCCUGUGCUGCAGUGGUUGUGAAAUUGAGAUUAUGGAUUUUACCUUAUUGAGAGAAUAAAUGGAAGCACCAAUUUAUUGUUGCUAUGAAUUUUUCUUUUCCUUUUUACCCCCUUAUUUUCUCUCCUGAAAGUAUCUAAAAAGAGCACUGACACCAAUGCUAUGUUGAUGCAGAGAUUAGCUCAAUACAGGCAGAAAUUAGACGAGAUGUUGCAUUAACAUGUCCUAGAAUCGGGGGCUACUUACCAUCGCAUUGUAGUUGGUGUCAUAGAUGUAAACAAGAAAAUGGAGGAAAGACGAUUAUGUGGCAUAUGUAGCUAUUGCUCUCAGCCGCUGGAAGUGAAUUGCUACAGCAUUUGUCAAUCGAGUGUACUUGUCUUGAGUCCUUGAUUUUUCAAAUCUUGUAAUGGAUGGACUGAAAUAAAUAAGAACAUCUUUGGUACAAGACGUAGACCAUUUUAAUCAUUACAAAUUUGAUGGAAUUAUAUGAAUAGUAGCUUUUUCUAA